rnacentral:lncRNA from 1 species
GGAGGCCGGAAGAGUGGUCCGAGCACAGAUCGUGGAGCUCGGGCUGGACGCUGAGAGGGCGGUGGCCAACGCGGUGCUGGACCUCUACGGCAAGUGUGCCGAGAUCGUCGAGACAGCGGAGAUCUUCGGCAGGAUGAGGCAGCGAGACAGAGUUUCGUGGAACACUAUGGUGGCGGCGUAUGCCCGAGCCGGGCAUACCGCCGGGAGCCUGUGGUGCUUCCGGGCGAUGCAGCUGGAGGGCGUUUGUCCGAGCGAGGUGAGCUUGGUGAGCGCGCUCUCGACAUACAGCCACGCGGGUCUCGUCGAGCAGGGCUGCCAGUGCUUCGCCUCCAUCGCGAGCGACUAUGGGAUGGUUCCAUCGCGCGAGCAGCAGGGGUGUGUGGUGGAUCUCCUGGGCCGAGCGGGGUCGUGGAUUGCGGAGGAUUUGAUCCGGGUGGUGGCUCCAUCCACGUCGAGGUCCGAGCUGUGGAAGGCGGUGUUGAGCGCUUGCAGGAUCCACUCGGACGUGGAGCUGGGCGAGUGCGCGGCUGCUUGUGUUCUGGAGAUGGAUCCUGGCAGUGACUCCGCUCAUAUCAUCUUGUCCAACAUCUAUGCUAUGGAUCAUCCAACUUAGAUGGAGUUUCUUGAGUGUGAUCCUCGAAAACCAUGCAGAGAAGCUUCUCUUGAGGACUUUUCUAUAGCUUGUUGACAUUGUGACAAGGAUAUAGUCUGAAAGGAUUCUAAGCUUGCGAAGAAACCAUGCGGUGGCAAAGAAGGACAUGAUCUUGGUUCCUGCGACGACUUCCUUGGUAUGAUUUCGCAAUGUCGGGCGGUAUCGAAGGUUUAGCCGAGAAUCCCGAGCGGUUUCUUUUCUGGUGAUGCAUCCUCGGAAGACUUCGGCGAGUGGAUAAGCACGGAAAAUUGUACAAAAGUCUGGACAGAAUGGUGGCGUGCCAGCGACUUGAAAAUGGUCGCGUUUUUUUUGACAAGUCAUGUGGCGAGUUUGGUGGGAAGACCAGCGUGAUUAAAGUCUUUGUCGGAAGCUCCGGAUCAUCUCAUCACUCGGUGAUAUAAAAUCGCAAGCUUUUCUCGAGAUCGAUCGCCGAUUUAGAGGUUUGCUUUGCUCUACGAUGAGGCGAUUUGGAGUGAUGUUCCUGGUGCUCUUGGCGCUGGCGGCGGUGGCCACGGAGGUGGAGGCGCAGCAGCAGUGCUUCCGCGAGAGCGCAUGCCUGCCGGGAGGAUUGGACUGUGAUACCUACUGCAAGUCUUGCCAUUUCUUCCAAGAGGGCCAGCGAUGCGUCAAGUGCAAGGGCGGGAGCUGCGAUAUCUUCUUAAGAUGCAUCUGUGAUGCACCAUGCAGCUUCUCAAACUGCCCAAUGCUCUCAGGCUAGAAAACAGCCUGACUCUGUUGCUUGCUUCUCGCAAGGUGAUGAAAUAAAAGUGUCAGCUUAUGUUAAGGACAAAAGUAGUCGUUAAGCCUCUUUGCUUUCACAGACGGCACAGUGGAAAUCCUGUUGGCAAUCAAGCGGAAGGAUGUGAAAUCCAGUUUACUUAUCCGGGUAAGCUUCUCAAGUAGAGAAAGGAGCUGGCUGAUUUUGGUUUUGCUGCCAGUGGUUUGAAGAAUGUUUCACGCCAGAAUGCAAGCAGUGGAGCUUUCAGGGGGUCUUGCUUGGUCAUGGUAGGCUAGCUAGAGAUUCAUUUCUGCUUUAUUCACGGGUGCUUUGGAGAUGAUUUCAUUACCAAUGGAGUCUUGCUAUCCCUUAUCAUAAGAUGCUGCUCUGAGCUUGACAACAAGUCGUUUCCUACUCAGUUUCGCUCAGUUUCGCUCAGUUUCGCUCUUUGCUUUGAUUCACGCUCCAAGGGCGAAGUCCUGGAGCUGCUCAUCGGGUUUGGCGAGCAGCUAGAACGUUUUGCGCAUCUGGUAACUCCUUUUUUUCGCUCAUUUUGUAUGCAACACCCAACUAUGGUGUUCACAGGGUUUAUGGAAGGCCUAUGCUGUUGGUAAGCUAACAAGCACCAGUUAUGAUUUAUUCCGACUGUCACAUCGCAGGCGAGAGCCGCCCUUCUCCCGAACUGCAGCUCGGAAACCUUGAUCAGGUUGCGAACUAUUGUUGGUCCAUGCAGCACGACCGGUAGUAGUAACUCCAUGUUCGAUCUGAUUCUUUUGUACAGUGUCUCUUGAUGAAGUGCCAGAAGAUUGCUCUGCACUUGUCUAUUGUGGAAGAGCUUGCCUUGGUGAGGCCGGAUCAUUCAUUCGUGCUUUUCCGUAGACUCUCAGCGCUAUCCGGCAUGGGCUUGCAGGAGGUGUUUAAAAUGGCAGGGGCGUUCAUGGCCACCUCGGCUGAUCCGAGGGGCAUUUGACAUUAUCGAGUUGGCAUUAAAUCGUGAUCGCCUUGUUUCUACAAGUCAGUGCUAUGAUUCUACGUUGAAGCUCGUAAAGGUGAGUUACAUGUAUUUGCAACUAAGUUAAUCGUGCUUGUUAGUUGAUAUUCAGAUCCACGAGUCGACGUUCGAGUUACUCAGGGACAUAAUGAAUCUGCUGUUUGCUUUUGCCAUCUAUCCGGGCUCUGAUGAAACCAGCCAACAGUUCCUCCAGGUUUGCUCUAAUCGGGGAGUCGACCAGCAGUUACGGAUGGUAAAGAUGAUCAUGUGCAAGAAACGUUGAAAUACUGAGCUCAUAUUUUGCGUGCUACAAGGUGGCGUGUACUGUAUACCUGUACCUGAGCCUCAUGUUAAAGAUGGUAAGACGAGAGCUUCUUUGUGAUUUGUCCCUGCGAGACUCACUCAGGCGAAACGUUUUGGUGCGGAGGAGCUUAAAUGCGUGGUUCAAAGAGCUAAACCCGCAAUCUAUGGAGGUCAAAGUUGAUCGUGGUGCUUCUAUAACGCGUAGAAGUGCGGUUCCCUACCUAGAGCAUGCUCUACUGGCGACGAAGGACCCCAAGUUUAUUGUGGAAAACGGCCUUCCUUCCGAGCUCUAACGCAUGUAAGAGACUGUACGGUAGAUAAACUGCAAGUUUCUAUAGAACCCUAAAGACGUAUAAACUCCAUGAGGGUCUAGGGCUUAGUGAUCGUCCUAGUUGUUGAGCGCAGGGGUGAGGCCCGGAUCUCGGCGUCGGCGCUGGCAUUUUGGGAUACUGCAUUCUAGUAGCAGCGAACACUGUUGAUUCGGGCAAAUGCAGACAGUCGGAGGCGAUCCUGGCAUGGCUACAAGAGGAGAUCGGCUACAGAUCCUUCCAAAUUCUUGAGAUCUUUCAAAGUUCUUACUUUUUUCUCUUUUUUCUCUCUUGGAAACCAGGCACAAACAAGUCCAGCUUGUGCAGAUCAUUGCCGAGUACCGGCGAAGAUUAGCAAGGUAUGUUGACCGUGCUUGAGAGGCACAAAGAAGGAAGCUUGCGGAGUCCAAGAAAGAGCAAGACACCGUGUAUGCAACGCCGAUCAAAGGUGACGAUCAGAUCCUCAUAGAGACUGCGCAGGAACAUCGCCUGCAAGAACCCGAGCUUUGCAACCUCGACGGCCUGUGGCUCUCUCCUCCUCCGUACGAGGGAAACGAGAGCGUGAUCUUCUCAGUAAGCUGUCGCGAUAGCAGCUCGCAUGCCUUUCUUAUACUCCUGCUUGAGUCGAUCACCAAAGUAACGGAGAGGAUCGACAUCCGAGCGGACGCAGAGAAGCUAAGGUUUGUGAGUGCUGCUGAUCUGCAUGAAGUAUAGGAAUCUAACUUGGUGUUUGUACCACCAGGUACAAGUACGAGAACAACGAAAUAGUGGAUGAUUUGUCCACUGAGCCAGAAGAUUCACCACUUGGCAAGAAGCUUAGCGGUAAAGUUGGAUUGGAGAUGUCUAAUAGGAGAACGAAUUGGGAGAUUCGCGAGAGACAGGGAAUGCAAGGUUUUUGUCUUUCUUCUAGUCAUGAAAGUGUCUUUUGCGUUGCAGAAAGCUCAUGUUCAGCAGUUUAUGGCAACGGAAGAAGCUUUGAACGAAGCUGCAGAGGCCAAAGCUGCAAGCGACAAGUUAAUCAAGUCGCUCAGUGGUGGAACGGAGCUCGACUACGUCCAGAACGAGGGAGGGCUUCGCCAACUGGAGGUAACUCAUCUUCUAUUUCGUCCGUCGAGCUGAGCCGUGUGUUACUUAGUGCGAGGUGUGGGCCAAGGAGCGGCAGUUAGCUGGUGUCAAGGCAAGCGUAGCGACACUCACGUCGGAGGUUCAACGUUCGAAAAAGCUAUGCGAAGAAAGAAAACAAGCGGAGGAAUCCCUGAGGCGGAAAAGAAUCGAGGAGUUCGACGCCCGCCGCAGGGAGCUGGAAUCUGUUUACACGGCGUUGAUCCGAGCUAAUAUGGUAAGCAGCAGCUUAGCAUUUCAUAGGCAAGUUUGGCAGUCUGGAAAAAAUCUCACGAAUAAUUUGUAGGAAGCUGCUGCUGCGAGGGAGCAACAUCCGGCCGCAGCAUUCGAGUAUUCUGCCAACACAAUACUUCCUGUCUGUAAUAUGGUACAAGAGAAGACCGUGGGUGCUCAGGACCUCUUAGAAAGAGAAGCCACCAUUUUUCAGAGAAGCCCGGACAACCGGCUGUAUAUGCUGCCUGUCACACCUCAGGUGUGUGAAAUCUGCCGGAUAGCUGCAGCAUCACAAUACUCGCAAGGUAUGUAAAUUUGUUUCAUCCGUCAAACAAGUUUUCCUCUUUCUUUUUGUUUCGUAUUGUAGGAGCUGAAGCACAAGAUGCUGGCAUGAUAGCCAUUGUGGAAGCGCUGAGGUUCUGUCUCAAGCCUUGCUCUUCUCCGGCCAGCUUUGUCCGGUCUUUGUCCGGCCAGCCUUCGUGACUUCUUUCUUGGAAACAAGCUCCCGAAUGUUCUCGUCACCUGGAUUAAAUGUUUCAAGAGUUAACUUAGAAAGCACGGAUCCAAGCCUUCUCACCGACGAUUGUAGUUGUUUCGGUCCACUCGUCCACUUGACUCAGGCUGGCCACGAAGGGUUAAAGUGGUUGGGGUGGCCUGUUAAAGUUGCUCGAGCUCGUCACAGGCUGGUUUUGUGCAUCGGUUGCUCUUUGAGAGCGGGUUCCAGUUCAACGCCAUGGUAGAGUCCUCUCUCGUGGACGCGUAUGGCAAAUGCAAGAACGUCAGUGCUGCAAGGACAGUGAUUAGCUCCAUGACGGACAAGACCAACGUGGUGUCUUGGAACUCUUUCAUCAGAGCUUUGGCCAGCAGCAGAGAUGCGAGUGGAGCUCUUCAAACGUUUCGAAGCUUGCUCUCCAAGGCUUGGUUCCCGACACGGUUACGUUCAUCAAUGCCAGCCAGGGAGCGAGAACUCCUCCGGAAGCAAAGUACCUCGAAGCUUGCCGCCAGGAGAGUGGGGUCCAACUGGACGUAGCUCUCGGCAACGCUCUCAUCAACAUGUUUGGCGGCAGCAGCCAGCCUUGCGAAGCUCGGAGAGUUUUCGAUGCGACUCACAACAAGAACAUCGUUUCCUGGAACGCGAUGCUGUCGGCUUACUCUCAGAACGGACACUUCGUUCUGAGGGACGCUUUCAGCCGGAGUCCAUCCUCGGACGUGGUAGCAUGGACUGUGAUGAUCUCGGUCUAUGCUCAGAACGGUCGACCCCAGGAAGCCAUCGCUCUCUUCUUCCGCAUAACAGUCCCGCCAGAUGGCGUUGUCUUCGCCACCGCUCUGGAAGCCUGUGCGAGAGCCGAGAACUUGGAGGCCGGGAGAGUGGUCCGAGCAAAGAUCGUGGACGCUGAGAGGGCGGUGGCCAACGCGGUGCUGGACCUCUACGGCAAGUGUGCCGAGAUCGUCGAGACAGCGGAGAUCUUCGACAGGAUGAGGCAGCGAGACACAGUUUCGUGGAACACUAUGGUGGCGGCGUAUGCCCCAGCCGGGCAUACCGCCUGGAGCCUGUGGUGCUUCCGGGCGAUG